rnacentral:rRNA from 1 species
UACGUAGGGGGCAAGCGUUGUCCGGAAUCAUUGGGCGUAAAGCGCGUGUAGGCGGCCAGAAAAGUCCGCUGUGAAAUCUCGAGGCUCAACUUCGAGCUGUCGGUGGAAACUGUCUGGCUAGAGUCCGGAAGAGGAGAAUGGAAUUCCUGGUGUAGCGGUGAAAUGCGCAGAUAUCAGGAAGAACACCCGUGGCGAAGGCGGUUCUCUGGGACGGUACUGACGCUGAGACGCGAAAGCGUGGGGGAGCGAACAGG